rnacentral:rRNA from 1 species
AUUGAACGCUGGCGGCAGGCCUAACACAUGCAAGUCGAGCGAGCGGCGGACGGGUGAGUAAUGUCUGGGAACUGCCUGAUGGAGGGGGAUAACAGUUGGAAACGACUGCUAAUACCGCAUACGAUUGGAUUGCCCAGGUGGGAUUAGCUAGUUGGUGAGGUAAUGGCUCACCAAGGCGACGAUCCCUAGCUGGUCUGAGAGGAUGAUCAGCCACACUGGAACUGAGACACGGUCCAGACUCCUACGGGAGGCAGCAGUGGGGAAUAUUGCACAAUGGGGGAAACCCUGAUGCAGCCAUGCCGCGUGUGUGAAGAAGGCCUUCGGGUUGUAAAGCACUUUCAGCGAGGAGGCGUUACUCGCAGAAGAAGCACCGGCUAACUCCGUGCCAGCAGCCGCGGUAAUUC